rnacentral:lncRNA from 1 species
AUAGACAGAUGUAGCAUUUUGCUUACAGAGAAAAUUGCAGUGAUAUUAGGUUAUUAUGGAAUCAGGAAGACACCUAGAACUAUCAUCAUUCUUUAAGAACAGCAUUUUUUUCUUCUCAAAGUUGACGUCAGCAGAAGGCAUCCUGGACAGAAAAUGAAUCACCAAAGAGUUUAUGCUUCAUUUUAUAAAGAACUUCAAUACCAGAUUUUUAAAAAUAAAUUUUAUUAUUUAGGGUGAUAGUAUAAAUAUACUUUUAAGUGCUGUAAUGGAAAAAAUAAGAUUGCAUUUCCGUGGAAGAGAGUGACAAUAUUUCCCAUUUAAUCUAGGGCUCCCUGUUCUCAAAUAAGUUGUUCCGUAGGUGACACAAAGUAAGUGAUUUGGUCCUUUCUACACAAGAUUUUUCACAUCAAGUUUUUAUGAAGGAAUAUUACUACAAGGAAUUUU